ensembl:misc_RNA Metazoa_SRP Metazoan signal recognition particle RNA
GCUGGGUGUGGUGGUGCGCACCUGUAGUCCCAGCUACUUGGGAGGUUGAGGCAGGAGAAUCGCUUGAGCUCAGGAGGUUGAGGCUGCAGUGAGCCAUGAUCAUGCCACUGUACUCCAGCCUGGGUGACAGAGUGAGACCUUGCCUCAA